UACUCAUUGCUAAGUUAUGAACCCUUAAUCAUGUGUUGACUAAUAUCCCUUCUUUUUGAGCCACAGAGUGAUUCUGGUGAAUUUCCUGAUGCUUUAUUUGCCAACUACACACCCCAGCUUUGUACUGCUCUCAGUGUAAGGUGAUGGGCGGUGCAAGGUGUCCAGCAAGGACUAGCUGCCAAAUUUAUCUGCUAAUUCCUUUGCUGGGAUUGGAUGAGGAGCGAUUGUAAUGGCUUGUUCCUGAGUUAACGACUUUUGUUGCUGCCUGGUCUCCUUUAUAUCAUGAUAUCUGGGUAGGUUGGGUCUCUUGGUGGAUAACAAGUUACAUACAAAACUACUGUGUUGGGUCAGACGGUCAGUUGUCCGAUGGUGAGGUUUGUCGUAGUUUUCUUCUUGGUUGGCAGCUGUUACCGGAAGAUGGCUGGAAUUAGAGUUCUCUCUGCUGGAUUCUAGUGGUCGAAUUCCGGAGGCUUUAGCUGGGAGUUGCAAAGCAUUGGACUGCAUAUGAAGUGAGAAUAUGAAUUGCCUCUUGAUAUAUAAGGGGUUUAUCUCAAUAAUCGUCAGGAAAUCUGAUGACUUAUGUUUACUUUUAUUGUGUGUUUGUGUUAUGAAGUAUGAACCUAAAAGUUAAGUUUUUGUUUCUGAACCAGACUUUUUUGUUUAUGUAUUUUAAGACCUCUUGUUUUUAAGUUAUAUUAAGGUUUCUUAUCAGA